rnacentral:lncRNA from 10 species
GGAGAAUCACUUGAACCUGGGAGGCAGAGGUUGCAGUGAGCCGAGAUCGUACCAUUGCACUCCAGCCUAGGCAACAAGAAUGAAACUCCGUCUCAAAAAAAAAAAAAAAAAAGAAUGGAGAAGUCUUACUGUCAUUUCACCUCAGUUUGGGUGAGAAUUCGCUGCUUGUUCCAGAGAGCCAUUUUCUGCCUACUAACCACGCCAGUGAAGAAUCUUUCUACCUUCCUCUUACACAAAGUCAUAUCUGUCUCAGCAUCACCAAAACUAUCAGAAAUUGCAAAAUGUUUUAGAUUUUUUUUUGAGACAGAGUAUCACUCUUGUCACACAGAAUGGAGUGCUGUGGCGCGAUCUCGGUUCACCGCAACCACCGCCUCCUGGAUUCAAGUGAUUCUGCUGCCUCAGCCUCCCAAGUAGCUCGGAUUACAGGCAAGUGCCACCAUGCCUGGCUAAUGUUUUUUCUUUUUUCUUUUCUUUUUUUUUUUUUUUUAGUAGAGAUGAGGUUUCUCCAUGUUUGUCAGGCUGGUCUCAAAUUCUCGACCUCAGUUAAUCCGUCUGCUUCGGCCCUCCAAAGUGCUGGGAUUACAGGCGUGAGCCACCGCGCCUGGCCAGUUUUAGAUUUUUACCUUACUUACAAGCCAACAAGUUAGACUGUCAGUUUAUGGAUGUUGGCUGAAGGCAUGAGAUUUCUGGAUCCGACAAAACAUAUAUUUUAUUAUUUGUCACAUAAAUUACAGCAAGAGCUUCGCAUCUGCGCACAUUCCCCCAUCUGCUCCAAGGGACACAGAAAUGAGAGCUGCUCCAGGGCGGUGUGGUUGGAGGGGGGAUCAGGAGGUACAGAAUAAAACAGUGGCCCCUGCUGGCAAGCACAGCACUAACAAGCCUCGUUUCAUAACCGUGUUUAUGGGUCUCUAGAGAUCAAUGAAGAAACAUAAACAUUGUACAAACAUGUCCAAUUCACAUAUUUCUGAUAAGAUUAGGGGGUUUUGUGUUACUUAUCUAAGCAAAGCAAAGCUUGGAUACACAGGAGUCUCCACUCAUGAGAAGAAAGCGGCUGACAGUUGGGAAACCUGCACUGAUCAUUGCAGAGAUGUUCACCACCAGCUGACUGGGAUUAUUCAAAAGAGCCAAACAAACUUGAAAGGUG